CGCCCUGCUCCAUACACCCGAAACGGUGGAAGCGCUGCGGCGGAGGA
rnacentral:misc_RNA from 1 species